AGGAAGAUGUCGAUUUGGAGGUUGUGCCCUUGAGGCGUGGCUUCCGGAGCUAACGCGUUAAAUCGACCGCCUGGGGAGUACGGCCGCAAGGUUAAAACUCAAAUGAAUUGACGGGGGCCCGCACAAGCGGUGGAGCAUGUGGUUUAAUUCGAUGCAACGCGAAGAACCUUACCUGGUCUUGACAUCCACAGAACUUUCCAGAGAUGGAUUGGUGCCUUCGGGAACUGUGAGACAGGUGCUGCAUGGCUGUCGUCAGCUCGUGUUGUGAAAUGUUGGGUUAAGUCCCGCAACGAGCGCAACCCUUAUCCUUUGUUGCCAGCGGUUCGGCCGGGAACUCAAAGGAGACUGCCAGUGAUAAACUGGAGGAAGGUGGGGAUGACGUCAAGUCAUCAUGGCCCUUACGACCAGGGCUACACACGUGCUACAAUGGCAUAUACAAAGAGAAGCGACCUCGCGAGAGCAAGCGGACCUCAUAAAGUAUGUCGUAGUCCGGAUUGGAGUCUGCAACUCGACUCCAUGAAGUCGGAAUCGCUAGUAAUCGUAGAUCAGAAUGCUACGGUGAAUACGUUCCCGGGCCUUGUACACACCGCCCGUCACACCAUGGGAGUGGGUUGCAAAAGAAGUAGGUAGCUUAACCUUCGGGAGGGCGCUUACCACUUUGUGAUUCAUGACUGGGGUGAAGUCUAAAAGGGGGAAACCCAAGAGGGGGGCCCCCCCCCCCCCCCCAAAAUA
rnacentral:rRNA from 1 species